rnacentral:rRNA from 1 species
GAGUUUGAUCAUGGCUCAGAGUGAACGCUGGCGGCGUGCUUAACACAUGCAAGUCGAACGGAUGAGAUAAGCUUGCUUAUUUCGUUAGUGGCGCACGGGUGAGUAAUGUAUAGCUAACCUGCCCUUUAGUGGGGGACAACAGUUGGAAACGGCUGCUAAUACCCCAUACUCCUUCUUAUCAUAAGGUAAGUUGGGAAAGAUUUAUUGCUAAAGGAUGGGGCUUUAUUGUAUCAGCUAGUUGGUGGGGUAAUGGCCUACCAAGGCUAUGACGCAUACCUGGUCUGAGAGGAUGAUCAGGCACACUGGAACUGAGACACGGUCCAGACUCCUACGGGAGGCAGCAGUGGGGAAUAUUGCACAAUGGAGGAAACUCUGAUGCAGCAACGCCGCGUGGAGGAUGACGCAUUUCGGUGUGUAAACUCCUUUUAUAAGGGAAGAUAAUGACGGUACCUUAUGAAUAAGCACCGGCUAACUCCGUGCCAGCAGCCGCGGUAAUACGGAGGGUGCAAGCGUUACUCGGAAUCACUGGGCGUAAAGGAUGCGUAGCUGGAAAUCAAGUCGAGAGUGAAAUCCAACGGCUUACCCGUUGAACUGCUCUCGAAACUGGUUACCUAGAAUAUGGGAGAGGUAGAUGGAAU